rnacentral:rRNA from 1 species
GACGUAGGGCGCGAGCGUUGUCCGGAUUUAUUGGGCGUAAAGAGCUCGUAGGCGGCUUGUCGCGUCGACUGUGAAAUCCCGCGGCUCAACUGCGGGUCUGCAGUCGAUACGGGCAGGCUAGAGUUCGGUAGGGGAGACUGGAAUUCCUGGUGUAGCGGUGAAAUGCGCAGAUAUCAGGGAGGAACACCCAAAUGGGCGAAGGCAGGUCUCUGGGCCGAUACUGACGCUGGAGGAGCGAAAAGCGUGGGGGAGCGAACAGG